rnacentral:piRNA from 1 species
GCUGCAUAGACUCCUGUGUACACUGGUGAC